rnacentral:rRNA from 1 species
UACGUAGGGACCGAGCGUUGUCCGGAUUCAUUGGGCGUAAAGAGCUCGUAGGCGGCCACUCAAGUCGAAUGUGAAACCUCGAGGCUUAACCUUGAGCCUGCAUUCGAUACUGGGCGGCUAGAGUCUGGUAGGGGGAUCUGGAAUUCCUGGUGUAGCGGUGGAAUGCGUAGAGAUCGGGAGGAACACCAGUGGCGAAGGCGGCUACCUGGACCAGCACUGACACUGAGGCACGAAAGCGUGGGGAGCAAACAGG